rnacentral:rRNA from 1 species
CCUACGGGAGGCAGCAGUGAGGAAUAUUGGUCAAUGGGCGGAAGCCUGAACCAGCCAAGUAGCGUGCGGGAUGAAGGCCCUACGGGUUGUAAACUUCUUUUAUAAAGGAAUAAAGUGAGGCACGUGUGCCUUUUUGUAUGUACUUUAUGAAUAAGGAUCGGCUAACUCCGUGCCAGCAGCCGCGGUAAUACGGAGGAUCCGAGCGUUAUCCGGAUUUAUUGGGUUUAAAGGGAGCGUAGAUGGGUUGUUAAGUCAGUUGUGAAAGUUUGCGGCUCAACCGUAAAAUUGCAAUUGAUACUGACAGCCUUGAGUACAGUUGAGGUAGGCGGAAUUCGUGGUGUAGCGGUGAAAUGCUUAGAUAUCACGAAGAACUCCGAUUGCGAAGGCAGCUUACUAAACUGCCACUGACAUUGAUGCUCGAAAGUGUGGGUAUCAAACAGGAUUAGAUACCCGUGUAGU